ensembl:lncRNA
AUUCAUUCUUCAUCUGUAUUCAACCUACUAUUUAUCCCAUCUAUUGCGUUCUCUAUUUCAACUGUAUAUAUUUUUUGUAGCUAAUAAUUCCACUUUUCUGUGCCUGAGGGAAGGGGUAAGGGAUGAUCCUACAGAGAAGGUGGUGAUGAGCUGUCUGGAGAGGUGAGCAGGGGUUUGCCAGAUUAUGAGAGAAAGGAGAAUCAACCUGUGGGUUCAGCAGUAGCCAAGGCCUGGAGACCAGACAGCAGGGCCCAGCUUUUCCUGCUGGGAAUGGCUGGAGCACUGGAAGUAGGGUGGGAGGGAGAUGAGGUAGGAAACUGCGGGGCCUUGUACUUUAUAAGGCCAGAGUCACUGAGGCUGGUGGAGAGAGAGCCUUGACUUGUGAGCUCUGCAGGCUGUGGUAACCUGUGGAAAGAUGGCAGCUUCAAGGCAGUGUUGGAGGACACCCAGCCCUUUGAGGUGAAGAGACUCUCCUCCACUUCAUGCUCCAGCUCCAUCCCCCUUCCCUUGGGCACCUGCCAGAAGGUCCCUCCUUUUUUUCCUGGAGAGGAAGGUAAGUGGAGAUGGGGAAGGAGACAUGGACCCAGAAAAGGCACCCUAGAGAACUUGUGAUUAGAUCUGGAUUUUGUGGGAUGCUGGGGCAGUGGGUGGAGGGAGGGAAGUGAUUCAAAUAAGGAGUAGAGAAAGGCAGCUCUGAUAAAGGCAGGAGUCUGUGUUAGAGAAAGAAGAUGGGGAAGCACCAAGAGCUUGCCUUUGAACAGAAGGCCCUAAUCUGGAAGAAUUUGGGAGCUGAGGCUGGUGAGGGAGGGGCCAGACCCUGGAGGUAACCCCAGGGUCAUGGCCAUCAUUUCUCAAAAGCCACUGCAGGUCAUAGGAACUUCUCUCCCUCCCCUAGCUGCCCCACUGCCUCCUUCCUAGUGGUUUCCUGACACUCAGGCCCCAGGCUCUUCUGAAGUUCUCCCAUCUUUCCCACAGAUCCUUCCCUCUUUGAGGAGAGGGUGCCCCAUGAUUUAUCCUCACUAUCUUCUCCACAUAGGUAGCCCCAGGGCCUUGACAGGAGUGAAACUUCCUGGAUGCUCUGUUCCACUGAUAGCUUCUACAGUGCCUCUUUUCUUUGAGAGGACCCCACACAUCAUCCUUCCAGGAGCACUCGCCCUCCCUUUGCUACCCGCACGAUCUUCCGCAACCCGCUGACCUAGGGUUGAGAGGCCGCCCAGGUAAAAGCUCGCCCAGGUCCCACCCCUCACGCGCUUCGGCCCAGCCUCUUUCCUGCGCGCCCCGGACCUGCAUCUUUACAGCUUCUCACCCGACACCUCCGGCCUUCGGCGCCGCCGCUGCCGCGCGCAAACAGAUUCCAGGGGCAGACAGCUGGAUCUCGCGAACACCCGGGACGCGUCCCUCCCGCCGUCUAGAGCAAGAGACGGGUAGCAGGCCUCCACCGCUACGGACGGCUCCCGGGCUCCCAUUGGAGGAGUGUCCUCCCCUCUUCCUUGGGAUUGGCUGGAGAUGGAAACGCUUUAUUUUUACCCUCAAAGACUGGAUCCAAGCCGAAGAAAACUCCGCCCCCUCGGGGGUCUUUGAUUGAUUUCCGAGCCAAGCCAACCCUUUAAUAGGAUUGGUCAGCAGGAGAGGGCUCGUUAUUUCC